GGCUGCACAAUAAGUUCCACUGUUCGCAUCCUUGUGUCCCUCUCGUUAGCACAUAUUCCCCAGCCA